CCCGCAGCCAUGAGCAACGACCAGCCCAAGCCACCCAACAAAGGAAAGUUAGAGAAGACUGUAACGAAAGUUUUGCCGCAGUUGGAUAAGAUCAACUGUAAACCGCAAUGGCAUUUAACUCCCCCCUCGUUCCAGCUGCGGGAAGAAAUGGAGACUCACGUUCCAGAGGAGUUUAGGUUAAAAAACGAGAUGACACCCGG